rnacentral:rRNA from 1 species
ACGGGCUGUGGGAGCAGGAGCCCGGAGAUGGAUUCUGAGACAUGAAUCCAGGCCCUACGGGGUGCAGCAGGCGCGAAAACUUUACAAUGCGGGAAACCGUGAUAAGGGAACCUCGAGUGCUGGCGCAUAGCGUCGGCUGUCCAGAUGCCUAAAAAGCAUCUGAUAGCAAGGGCCGGGCAAGACCGGUGCCAGCCGCCGCGGUAACACCGGCGGCUCGAGUGGUGGCCACGUUUAUUGGGUCUAAAGCGUCCGUAGCCGGCUUGGCAAGUCCCCUGGGAAAUCUGGCGGCUUAACCGUCAGGCGUCCAGAGGAUACUGCCAGGCUUGGGACCGGGAGAGGUGAGAGGUACCUCAGGGGUAGGGGUGAAAUCUUGUGAUCCCUGAGGGACCACCAGUGGCGAAGGCGUCUCACUAGAACGGGUCCGACGGUCAGGGACGAAAGCUGGGGGCACGAACCGGAUUAGAUACCCGGGUAGUCCCAGCCGUAAACGAUGCUCGCUAGGUGUCAGGCAUGGCAUGACUGUGCCUGGUGCCGAAGGGAAGCCGUGAAGCGAGCCACCUGGGAAGUACGGCCGCAAGGCUGAAACUUAAAGGAAUUGGC